rnacentral:rRNA from 1 species
AGGGUGUAAACGCUGCAGACUUGGUGUUGGAGGCCCUUUGGGGGCAUUCAGUGCCGGAGAGAAGUUGUUAAGUCUGCUACUUGGGGAGUACGUCCGCAAGGAUGAAACUUAAAGGAAUUGGCGGGGGAGCACCGCAACGGGAGGAGCGUGCGGUUUAAUUGGAUUCAACACCGUAAAACUCACCAGGGAAGACUGUUACAUGAAGGCCGAGAUGAAGACUCUGCUAGAUUUUCAGAGAGGUGGUGCAUGGCCGUCAGUGACU